ACGUUCGCCACUUGUUCCGCAUGCGUGAGAGGUCCUCACCUAUAAAUAGAGGUAGUGGCUCUUCAUUUUUGGGAGAAGGAGGAGUUCCCGAAGGUGAAGAAGCUCUGCCGGAAACCGUUUGCCGUUGUUCUGCCGUUGCCGAGAAGAAUCACCGAGAGAUCUGAUUAGCCUUCAAGAUCUGUAACCAUUAGUUGGGUCGCUUUAGAGGGAGUUUGGACGUGUAGGCCGCUGGUGUAGUUUGUUGUUGCUUUUUCUUAAGACGUAUGUUUCUGUUUAGUUGUUUAUGAUGCUUUUGUUGCUUUUUGGUAUUUGCCUUAAGUCAUGACUCGGUAAAACUGGAUUUUUGUAUUAACGUUGUUUUAUUAUUAUUAUUAAAUAAAGUUAUGUUUAAUUA